CCUACGGGAGGCAGCAGUGGGGAAUAUUGCUCAAUGGGGGAAACCCUGAAGCAGCAACGCCGCGUGUAUGAUGAAGGUUUUCGGAUUGUAAACUACUUUUGUUAGGGAAGAUAGUGACGAUAUCUAACACAUAAGCACCGGCUAACUCCGUGCCAGCAGCCGCGGUAAUACGGAGGGUGCAAGCGUUAGUCGGAAUCACUGGGCGUAAAGAGCGCGGAGGCGGUAUAGCAAGUCAGAUGUGAAAUCCCAUGGCUUAACCAUAGAAUUGCAUUUGAUACUGGUCUUCUAGAGUAUGGGAGAGGUAGGUGGAAUUCUUGGUGUAGGGGUAAAAUGCGUAGAGAUGAAGAGGAAUACUCAUGGCGAAGGCGACCCGCUAGACAAUAACUGACGCUGAUGUGCGAAAGCGUGGGGAGCAAACAGGAUUAGAUACCCGUGUAGUC
rnacentral:rRNA from 1 species